rnacentral:lncRNA from 1 species
AUGAAAUACUUCUACACAUAUUUCAUGGCCAAAACCAAUAAUUCAGAAGUUACUGAAUUCAUCCUCUUGGGACUCACAGACAAUCCAGAGCUCCAAGCCCUUUUUUAGGGGGAUCUUUCUAGUGAUCAAUUUAAGUAGUGUCAUGGGUAGCCUUGGGUUAAUUAUGCUAAUUCAUAUCAGUCCUCAGCUUCACACAGCUAUGUAUUUUUUUCUCAGCCACGUAGCUUUUGUUUAUUUUUGCUACACCUCCUCUAUCACCCCUAACAGCCUAGUGAACCUCCUCCAAGAAACUAAAAGAAUAUCCUUACCUACUUGUGCCUCUCAGUUGCAUUGCUUUAUCAUGUUUGUGGUUUGUGACAUGUAUGUGCUCUCAGCCAUGGCAUAUGACAGGUAUGUGGCCAUCUGCAACCCUUUACUCUAUAGUAUCAUCAUGAACAGAAGGGUCUGUAUUCAAAUGGUGGUAAGUACAUAUUUGUAUGGCUUUUCUGUGAGACUCCUACAGGCAAUUCUUACAUUCCACUUGUCUUUCUGAGAUUCAAAUAUAAUAAAUAAUUCCUAUUGUGAUGAUGUUCCCCUAGCAUGUCUACCCUAUCAUAAAAACCAUUACAAAGAUGUAAAAGAACUGAUAUUGUUCACACUUGCUGGUUUCAAUACACUUUUCUCCCUUCUUAUCAUCCUCAUCUCCUACAUAUCAGUACUGUCUGCCAUUCUGAGAAUUAAUUCAGCUGAAAGUAGACAAAAGGCAUUUUCUACUUGUGACUCCCACCUGACUUCUAUCAUCAUAUUUUAUGGUAUAAUUACCUUCAUGUAUAUGCAGUGAAAAACAAAUAAUUCUCUGGAUACAGACAAAAUAGCUUCUGUUUUCUGUAUUGUGAAAAUUCCUUCAAUAUAUAGCCUGAGGAACCACGAAGUCAAAGAUGCUUUGAAGAUGAUUAUGGAAAAUCUAUGUCUUACU